GAUGAACGCUGGCGGCGUGCCUAAUACAUGCAAGUCGAGCGAACGGACGAGAAGCUUGCUUUUCUGAUGUUAGCGGCGGACGGGUGAGUAACACGUGGAUAACCUACCUAUAAGACUGGGAUAACUACGGGAAACCGGAGCUAAUACCGGAUAAUAUUUUGAACCGCAUGGUUCAAAAGUGAAAGACGGUCUUGCUGUCACUUAUAGAUGGAUCCGCGCUGCAUUAGCUAGUUGGUAAGGUAACGGCCUACCAAGGCAACGAUGCAUAGCCGACCUGGGAGGGUGGUCGGCCACACUGGAACUUAGACACGGUCCAGGCUCCUACGGGAGGCAGCAGUAGGGAAUCUUCCGCAAUGGGCGAAAGCCUGGCGGAGCAACCCCGCGUGAGUGAUGAAGGUCUUCGGAUCGUAAAACUCUGUUAUUAGUUAAGAACAUAUGUGUAAGUAACUGUGCACAUCUUGACGGUACCUAAUCAGAAAGCCCCGGCUAACUACGUG
rnacentral:rRNA from 1 species